UCAGAUGUGAGUGACGUUCUGUGCCCAGUU
rnacentral:piRNA from 1 species